GGGUAUAGCUCAAGUGGUAGAGCGCAUGCUUAGCAUGCACGAGGUCCUGGGUUCAAUCCCCAGUAUCUCCU
rnacentral:tRNA from 1 species